AUACGGAGGGAGCAAGCGUUAUUCGGAAUCACUGGGCGUAAAGCGUACGUAGGCGGUCCGUUAAGUUAGAUGUGAAAGCCCCGGGCUUAACCUGGGAACUGCAUUUAAAACUGGCGGACUAGAGUUGAGUAGAGGGGAGUGGAAUUUCAGGUGUAGCGGUGAAAUGCGUAGAGAUCUGAAGGAACACCAGUGGCGAAGGCGACUCCCUGGACUCGAACUGACGCUGAGGUACGAAAGCGUGGGUAGCAAACGGGAUUAGAUACCCCAGUAGUCC
rnacentral:rRNA from 1 species